CUCCUGGGAGGAAAGGGGCAGGUCUCCCUUACGCUCUCGUUGUCUCUACGCCUCGCCGUUCUUGGUGCAGAGGACUCGGGAGGGCUGCGUUAAUGAGACAAGACGUUGCCUCUGCUCUGUGACCAUGAAACUGUUUGACCCAUAGACCCUGGACGCCCGGGGUCUCACAGACCGGGCACUGUGAGGUCACAGGCGGCCUGACGCUGGGCCGCCUUCCUGGAGAGGGAGCCGAGCGCCCGUGCCCUCCGGAGAGAGAGGUCCCUCUGGCCCUCGUCUCCAACUCGGGCCGGCUUUCUGUGCCUUUAACACUUGCAAAAUGUCCAGGAAGCAAGGCUUAUUUAGAAUACAGUAGAAUUUGAAGGGGCAAGACUUUUCAGAAGUGGGCAGAGGGUCUGAGAAACUUAGAAAAGGAAAAGCAAUUAACAGGUUCUCUCCUUUCGUCCUGCCCGCGGGGACCUGAGCACCUGACAAGUGGCCAGUCCGAAGGCUUAGUAUGAAAAUAACGAAAAUGUCUCGCUAACAAUUUUUACAUCGAUUACAUGUUGAGAUAAUAUAUUGAUAUAUUAGAUGAAAAUAUAUUGAAAUUGUACUUUGAAAAUAUAGCUAUCAGAAAAAAUUUCAAUUGCACGUAUGACUCGCAUUAGUUUUCUUUUGGACGGCAGUGCUCUUUUUGUGGUUAAGUGAGUUUGUUUAGAUACUGAGGAUUUAUGGGUCCUGCAAAAUGUCUGUAGUGCUAUUUGCCAUCACUAGAUGGCUGCCUCAUUCAACAGACUAGUUUUAUAUUUCCAUCUAACAACUACCAAGAAUUCCACAUAUUUUCAGAGAUUCGAUCGACUUUUUCUGUAACACUGACUGUAAACACAAACCUGAAGUAAAGGCCCUGAGCUUAAAAAGUUGGUUGUAUUCCUGUGGUCCAAGGACAUUAUCAUCAUUGGUUCGGAUUGAACUCAGGACCUUGCGCUUGUGGAGCGGCCGUGGUGCUAUUGAGCUAAACCCCCAGCCCUAUUUAAAAAUAUUUCUUCAUUGUUCAAGUUGUAGAAGUAAAGAUGGCUGCUUAGACCUUGUGAAGGAAUAGCAGACCAGUUCCAAGCAUGAUGCAGCUGCAGUAUUACAGGACCAAGACUCUGUGAGUUAAAGAAACAGGAUGAACACAGGAAUGAAAGCCAAGCAGCAAGCUGUCAAGUCACAGAGGAGAGAGUCAGAGACAGGCCAAGCCAGGAAGUAGGAUCAGUUAAGAGUGCUAGAGAGGGUGCAAAGGACCCUGAAGAGAAUCCUCAUGUCCUGGAACACUCAGCCUGAUCUGAAAAACAGUCUUCCCCCAGUGUAGCUGCAGAGAAGGGGGGUGAUUGUGGACAUUUACCACCCAUACUAGAUGGAUCCAGCCUGGGUUAAGGUGACUAUUCUGACUCCUUCCAGUCCCUCACACCUCUUCAUCU
rnacentral:lncRNA from 1 species